rnacentral:rRNA from 1 species
UACGUAGGGUCCAAGCGUUAAUCGGAAUUACUGGACGUAAAGCGUGCGCAGGCGGUUGUGUAAGUCAGAUGUGAAAUCCCCGGGCUCAACCUGGGAAUUGCAUUUGAGACUGCACGGCUAGAGUGUGUCAGAGGGGGGUAGAAUUCCACGUGUAGCAGUGAAAUGCGUAGAGAUGUGGAGGAAUACCGAUGGCGAAGGCAGCCCCCUGGGAUAACACUGACGCUCAUGCACGAAAGCGUGGGGAGCAAACAGG